GGGGGUGUAGCUCAGUUGGCAGAGCACAUGGUUUGCAACCAUGGGGUCAGGGGUUCGAAUCCCCUCACCUCCACCA
rnacentral:tRNA from 1 species